rnacentral:rRNA from 1 species
UCGGGUGAACUUUACAAUGCGCGAAAGCGUGAUAAGGGAAUCCUUAGUGCUCUAGUCUUACUAGGGCUUUUGCCAAGGGCAAAUACCUUGGCGAAUAAGUGGUGGGCAAGACUGGUGCCAGCCGCCGCGGUAACCCCAGCGCCACUAGUGGUACCCAGCUUUAUUUGGUCUAAAGCGUCCGUAGCUGGCAGGUUAAAUUUUCUGUGAAAUCGUGGCGCUUAACGUCACGGCGAGCAGAAAACACUGAUCUGCUUGGGACCAGAAGAGGUAAGCGGUAUUCCUUGGGGAGCGGUAAAAUGCUAUAAUCCAAGGAGGACCACCGAUGGCGAAGGCAGCUUACCAGUAUGGAUCCGACAGUGAGGGACGAAAGCUAGGGGAGCGAUCCGG